GUUCUUUGCAGUGGGGCGUUUACAAGCAAUUGAUGAAGUUGACACUUCCCAAGAUUGUUCAUUUUGCAACGCGAAGGAAAAAAAAUGGAUCCAUUUAUUGUUUGAAGGUCUCUAAUCUGCCAACAUUAAGUGCGCUUCCGGCCGCCAUCUUUGUUGCGUUUGGGAAACAGACGCAUCUUGUAAGCAGAGUUAAAGAACCACCUUCAUUGUGCUGCAGGAACGUUACCUUUCACCCAACUUCGGUGAAGGAACAAUGUGUGAACCUAAACAUGCCCUGAAAACAGUGCUCCUGUGGGAUCAUGAGAGCAGCUUCAGGAGUGCUUUACAAAAAGCCUGAUAUACGUUACGAACAGUAACCGACAGAGAAGUGAACAGUGAACGGGAGUCCGUCUUUGAAAAAGAGUCCAUCGUCUCAAGACUCAAACUCGCUGUCGCUGCUGACUGAGAUGUCCGGGGUGGAGGCUCCUGUUCCUCUGCGAUCUGUCUCUGUGCUACAGUCGCUGGUCUCCGGGCUGCCCAGAUGGCGAGGGGAGCUAGGCAACAAGUGGGGGUGAUGGUGGCGCUCCUGAUGGGAGCCGUCAGAUGCAGCGCGGUCUCUCUGGCGGCGGUUCUUGAACCAGUUGCCGACCUGUGUGGGUGUUAGUCCCGUCGCCUGGGCCAAGUGGCGCUUCCUGGACGGGUUGGGGUAGGGGUCCUGAAGAUGGUGAAUUAUCCAAAGGACAUGGCACACCAGAUCUGAAAGCCAGACAGAGCUGAUGACUUAUCCCGGUAAAUCCAUGUGUGCUUCAUCCAGCUGGUUCCCUCCACCGUCCAGAAGCUGCGGAGCUCUACUGGCCUUAGCAAGGCGGCUAAUCUAGAUGGCGGGAGGCCUCCCUCCUGCUAGCGCACACAAGAGAGGGCAGCCCUAAUUGCUUAUGUCGUAAAGCUCUCUGACCCAGAUAAGCCUCCAUACCCCAAAGCUGUCAAUAUAAACCCCACUUUACCUCACCAAACCUGCCACUCCUGAUCCACACAAGCCACCCCCCCCCUAAAAUUUCUGCACCUUCUGCCACAUUAUUAACACCCAUGUCAGGGGGAGAAGAAAUGAACAGCAUAGGGUAGACAGAACAUGACAUCUUUGGAGGGAAGUAAUUUUCUUGUUGGGUGAAUGCCAACAGCUUAGUCAAGGAGUUGUUUAUUGCAGGAAAAUAACUUCUUAAGCUGUAUUCCUAAUUUAUGUGUUUUUACUAGAGAGGAAAGCUCUUAAAUCUAGCUCAGAGGACAAUGGGAACAUUUUUGGUUAAAACAAAACAAGUCUUUUUGGAUCCAUUGUUUAAUCCUCAUCAAGUUUUAUUUGAGACUUAUUUAUAAGUUUGGAGUCAGAGACAUCUCUGAAAAAUGGAGGCACAAGAUUGAAAGCAAAAGUGCCCGAUAUUUGGUUAGACGGAUGAUUAUUUGUUAUGCCCUAAAAAAGCUGAACUAAAGCCAGAGCAGAGUUGCGUGCGACUAGCUCUCGCGUGCCAGGUUUAACACUGAGCCUAGUAAUGAAGGCUUAGCCACAGAGGGCCACGGUGCAUCGAACAGUCAAGUGCCGAAUGUCACACGUGCUCUACUUUAUACCAACAGAUGGCCAUCACCGAUCACCGAACACUUGAGCAACUUUAAAGCUACGCAAACUGUUAUUGUUUUUCAUUUUCAACUUUCUAAAACCAGCCUGAGAUGUUUAGGAAGAUAUGAUGAAAAACUUCACGAAAUAUGGUGACUGGGAUGGUGUAGCUGAGUUGCAGAAGUAUUUUAUUACUUAUCAAACCAGUCUAACUGAGUACUCCUUAAAGUCUAGUUUAAUACCUGUCUUAAUUACUAAAUAGGAGCUUUUAAUUGGAUGCUGGCCUGCCUCAUCCUGUAAUCACCCAUCACAUGCUAUUUGUGCAGGGAUGCCUUUAAACCUCCAUCUUAAGCCAGGUUACAGCACAGGUUAAUGUCAACUGUGUCAAGUGCUUGGUGAACGAUACUCCGACUGAUUUCUCGCCAUUUUUGUCUUUCCACUGUAUUUAUGCUCAUAUGAGUGAAGUCAGCCAAACUGUGUUUGGUAGGAACUCGUUUUUCUUUGAUUGUCUUGCUCUCAGCAUCUUCACCUCCUUUUAAAAGUUAUAAUUUGAAAAGCACUGUUGACAUAAGUGUCAUUACGAGUCCCUGGUGAAGUUAAUUGAUUGGAUUUGUACAUUUCCAAGUGCUCAAAGAUCUUUCUGAUUACUUAGGAGAUUAAAACUAGCAACACCACCAUUUGCAAAUACUCACUUCAAAGUAAAACUCCUGUCAUGCGACACAUUUCUUUAAAAUUCUUUUAAGUACAAAAGUGUUAGCAUUCAAAUAUCCUUACUAUUGAAUAUUCCAUAUUCAAAAUGGCAUAUUUAAGAGUAACGUGUAUUAUUUUAUUAGACUGUAAUGUCUUUCUAAAUGUUUGACACACCUACAAUUUAUAAGUCAACUCCGACAAUCAAAGAUACGUCUACUAACAGGGCUUGUUUUUUGUCAGUGACAGGCUGAUUACAGAAACAUAAUAAUAAGAUCCAUUUUGUUUUCAAAAACACAAGUCCUGUUCCAGGAGAGACGAUCAGCUGAGGCGAUCUACUGGACUGUUACAGUAUGAAUCAUUUACACACCAAGCAUGUCGAUACAGGUUUUAAAACACUGGAAUACCCCUUUAAUGUGUUCAUCCCAUUAAUGUUGAACUAGAACAGAUAGAUAGUAAAUACUUAAUGCUACUUAUAUGGUAGCUUGUGAAAUCUCAUCAGGAAUCGAUAGCUUUUAAUCUACAAUAUUAAAUCAUAUAUUUUAUUUCUAUUCUUAAAUCUAAUUGCAGAAGUAGUUAAAGUUGUUAAAUAAAUUGAAUGAAGCAAAAAGUACAAUAUUUGCCUUUGAAUUUUAGUGGAUUGGAGGUAUAAAGUUGCAGAAAAUGGAAUUAAUCAAAUUGAGUUCCAGUAACUCUCAAUUGUACUUAAAUUAGAGCAUGUUUUAAGUAGCUUUCCAGCCCUGAUUGUGUACAAGUAAGACAGUUAUCUGUCAAAUAAAAGUCAUCCAGUAGGUUUAAUAUAAAUUCAAACAAUACAAAUCAGGCAUGAUGUUUCCUCAACGUAAAAGAAAUAAUAAAUACAAAAUGAGCAUUUUCAAAAAAGGAAAAAGACACAUGAGAAAUAGAGCUCCACACUACAUCGUUACACAAGUUUGUUUGAAAAUAUGUUGAAAUGGAUCCCACGUCAAAAAAUACUGAAUAAAAGUGAUUUUACAGUGGCGCUGAACCAAAAGAGUUCAAAAACAAUUUUUUUUUUUCAAACCAAACACAAUUCCGUGCUACAGUCUUUCUGCUUGGGGUAAAAACAAAAAGGGUUAAACCCACUCCAGUUAAAUCAAAACAAUUUCACAAUAAAUAUAUCAUGAACACUACAAGUGUAGAAGAAAAAAAUAUGUAAAUCUCAAAUCAAUAAUUACAUAACAACUUAACACUUAAAACAUAUUUUGUAUAUGCAUACUUUGCAGUUUCACUAAACAGACAUAAGAUUGGUAGUCAAGGUUUAAUACUGUAUGUAGUGUAUGUACCAUUAGGAUACAGAAUAAUGUGUAUGAUCAAUAAUUUGCUAUUCUCUAGUGGUGUUAAGAUAAAACUUUCCACAGAAGUCCUUUGACAACACCAACUGCUUUUUUUGCUGUUUUACAUUUUGAUUGUGCAUUUUUUUUUUAAUCUACCAUUAACCAUGCUACAUUUGUACCUGUAGCCCACUGGCCCCAUUGUAGACAGAGCUGUUAAAACCCCCCCCACAGAUUUAGACAAUGUAACCGACUACCACCAUCACAUCCUCAGUGUUAUAAUACAGUAUUUUUCCACAAUCUUGGCAAAAUUACAGUACCGUAGAAAGUUCCCCCAGUGCUUUGUUGUGCUAAUGCCUUGCGAGUAAUCUCUUUAGACAGUUUUGCGGCGAGACCAAGAAUAAGCACUCCCAGGGUUAUGAAAACGUCUGAAAUGUGCCGACAGUUGUGGCGCAGAGUAGAUUCACAUCCCCCUGAGCGCCAGACAGCACUGGUGUUGUGUAAUCCCUGCGUUCUGCUGUAGUGUAUCCAACACUCACUUCAAGCUAAAAUAUAUGAUGAAACACUCAGGUGCCUGUUGCCAUCUGGUGGACAGAGCACAUCACUGAUUGUCAGGGCUGAUUCCCAUUGUACUGAAGGGUAGCAGUAACCCUGAUAAUCAGACGGAGUUACCUUUUUGUUUCACUUCAUUAUUGUUAUGGAAUAUAACUGACAGAAAUGUCUGGAACAAGGUGAGAGUUUUGUGGACUCUGCCUGCGUUUGGCAAGUGAGCAAAUGAAAACAGACUGAUGAUUGUGCCUCCUGUCUUUGCAAUAGCCAACAGGGUGGUAAUUAAUUCUUUAUAUAUGUAGACAGACACCU